GAUGAACGCUGGCGGCGUGCCUAAUACAUGCAAGUCGAACGAAACUUCUUUAUCACCGAGUGCUUACACUCACCGAUAAAGAGUUGAGUGGCGAACGGGUGAGUAACACGUGGGCAACCUGCCCAAAAGAGGGGGAUAACACUUGGAAACAGGUGCUAAUACCGCAUAACCAUAGUUACCGCAUGGUAACUAUGUAAAAGGUGGCUAUACUACCGCUUUUGGAUGGGCCCGCGGCGCAUUAGCUAGUUGGUAGGGUAAAGGCUUACCAAGGCAAUGAUGCGUAGCCGAAUUGAGAGGUUGAUCGGCCACAUUGGGACUGAGACACGGCCCAAACUCCUACGGGAGGCAGCAGUAGGGAAUCUUCCACAAUGGGCGAAAGCCUGAUGGAGCAACGCCGCGUGGGUGAAGAAGGUCUUCGGAUCGUAAAACCCUGUUGUUAGAGAAGAAAGUGCGUGAGAGUAACUGUUCACGUUUCGACGGUAUCUAACCAGAAAGCCACUGCUAACUACGUG
rnacentral:rRNA from 1 species